UAUUGGACAAUGGGCGAAAGCCUGAACCAGCCAUGCCGCGUGUGUUAAGAAGGUCUACGGUUUGUAAAGCACAUUAAGCUGGGAGGAAGGGCAGUAAGUUAAUACCUUGCUGUUAUGUCGUUACCGACAGAAUAAGCACCGGCUCACUUCGUGCCAGCAGCCGCGGUAAUACGAAGGGUGCAAGCGUUAAUCGGAAUUACUGGGCGUAAAGCGCGCGUAGGUGGUUUGUUAAGUUGGAAGUGAAAGCCCCGGGCUCAACCUGGGAAUUGCUUUCAAAACUGACGAGCUAGAGUACGGUAGAGGGUAGUGGAAUUUCCUGUGUAGCGGUGAAAUGCGUAGAUAUAGGAAGGAACAUCAGUGGCGAAGGCGACUACCUGGACUGAUACUGACACUGAGGUGCGAAAGCGUGGGGAGCAAACAGG
rnacentral:rRNA from 1 species